AACGAACGCUGGCGGCAUGCCUAACACAUGCAAGUCGAACGGCAGCACGGGGCAACCUGGUGGCGAGUGGCGAACGGGUGAGUAAUACAUCGGAACGUGCCCAAUCGUGGGGGAUAACGUAGCGAAAGCUACGCUAAUACCGCAUACGAUCUACGGAUGAAAGCGGGGGAUCGCAAGACCUCGCGCGAAUGGAGCGGCCGAUGGCAGAUUAGGUAGUUGGUGGGGUAAAGGCUCACCAAGCCGACGAUCUGUAGCUGGUCUGCGAGGACGACCAGCCACACUGGGACUGAGACACGGCCCAGACUCCUACGGGAGGCAGCAGUGGGGAAUUUUGGACAAUGGGCGCAAGCCUGAUCCAGCCAUUCCGCGUGCAGGAUGAAGGCCUUCGGGUUGUAAACUGCUUUUGUACGGAACGAAAAGGCUCUGGUUAAUACCCGGGGCUCAUGACGGUACCGUAAGAAUAAGCACCGGCUAACUACGUGCCAGCCGCCGCCGUAA
rnacentral:rRNA from 1 species